UAGUGGGCUGAAGAAACGAGAAUUGAAUAUUUCCAGCAGUGAAUUGUGGCUAUCUGCCACUUGGGGAAAAUCUGUAACUACUCCUACCACCUGAGAGGGACCGCUUUACGACCAAGUCACCCAGCGGACAAGUUCUAAAAGCCCAUGUAAUUUUCUUUUACUUCAUUAUGCUGCAUCUUGGAAAACUGCCAUGUUACUGUUAGCUGUGUAGCACCAUUCUGUGCCUAACUAGGGAUCGAAGACGUUACUGAGAAGUAGCAAGGAACACUUGUGGGGACAAUAUCAGGUCAAUCGGGUUUGUUUCGGGAACUUUUAUAUUUUACAGUGCAAUAGUUACCUACAUAUACCAGUAUACUUAUA
rnacentral:lncRNA from 1 species